rnacentral:misc_RNA from 1 species
UCGUCAAUUCAUUUGAGUUUCAUUCUUGCGAACAUACUCCCCAGGUGGAUUACUUAUUGCGUUGGCUGCGGCACCGAUGGGCCCAUGCCCACCGACACCUAGUAAUCAUCGUUUACGGCGUGGACUACCAGGGUAUCUAAUCCUGUUUGCUCCCCACGCUUUCGAGCCUCAACGUCAGUUACAGUCCAGUAAGCCGCCUUCGCCACUGGUGUUCCUCCUAAUAUCUACGCAUUUCACCGCUACACUAGGAAUUCCACUUACCUCUCCAGCACUCUAGCAUGGCAGUUUCCAAAGCAGUUCAGGGGUUAAGCCCCUGCCUUUCACUUCAGACUUGCCGCGCCGUCUACGCUCCCUUUACACCCAGUAAAUCCGGAUAACGCUUGCCCCCUACGUAUUACCG